rnacentral:lncRNA from 1 species
AUGGGGACAGACACCUCCAAACAUCCUAUUAAAACAGAAAAUGAAUCCCAUCAAGAUAUCACUGCAACAAAGUCUGACAGUGUGAAUGAGAAAAAAGAUGAGAACUUAUCCGAAGCCUUUUGCAAACUAAUACCCAUUCCAGAGGUUAACAAUACUCAAAAAGACAAUAGCAUAUCUCAAAAUGCAGUCAUCACAGGCUUAAGUUCCCCAGCUGAAUAUUCCCAAUCUAAAACUGUUACACCUUGUGAUAGCCAAGUGGAACUUAACCACACACAAGCACGGGCUAAACCAUGUAUAACUCCUACAGUUAAAGACACAGACAAUGGUGCUUUAACUAGUCGUGAUUCAGUGGACGUGAGCUUAACUCAGUCUCAAGGUUCACCAGAGCCUUGCCUGUCCUCAAAUGAGAUCAACUCAACCCAGGGAAUAACACAAUUACAAUCUAGCUUUUCAUCAAACCCUAUGGAAUCUAGCUGUCAAAAUGACUCCAAGCCUGAGAAAACAGAUGAGUGCCAGAAAUCUGACACCAUUACAGAGCAAACUCAGAGUCAUGAUACUUCAGCUGUAGAUGCAGGGCCCAAGAUAGCUCACAUAGAAGUUUCUACAGCAACAGACUCUAAUGAGGUUGAUAAAAUUAAACAAACAACACCAGAGGUAGAAAACACUGUGACUAAAUUUGCAGAGGUGUCAGAAAAAUCACAUUUGACUGUACACAGUAAUUCAGAAAAUCAGUCUUCUGUUGCAGAGAAUGCAAAAUCGAUAAUGUCUGCCCAUCAGACAUCUACUGCAAAUGUUAUCUCUUGCAGUAACCUUAGAGAUGACACUAAAGUUCUUUUAGAGCAAAUUUCAGCAAAGAACCAAAGCAGAUCUUCCCAGUCCAAGCAGACUCUUCCUGCUCCCAAUGAAGCGAAAAAGGGUGAGGUUAGCUCUGCAGAUAAUUUGUUUUCAAAUUAUUCAGGAAGGCCCUGGUCCUCCAAGGCUACACCAGAAGAGCGGGAGAUGUUACUACAAAAGAUGGAGCAAAUGCGUAAACAGAGGAAGGCCUACAGCCGUUUUGAGGCCUCAUAAAUUAAACCAUUGGAGGAGGGGCUCCCUUGAUGAACAAUAAGAGGAUAGCGAUUUUUUUACCUCAUAACUGUGAACCUGCACAAACUUGGAUUGAAGUGUUUUAUAACUUCUGAUUAUACCAAAGAGUGCUGCCUAUAUUGAGAGAAUGGAAAUCCCUGCAGGGCUUAACAAGCUAUGCAGAUGAUCUGCGUGACAAAACAGGAACUCAACCUUUACCGGCUGGAAUAUGCUUUUAAUAGGGCAGGUAUUUCUCUGUGUGUAUAUAUAGUGUAGCUGUGAAACACAUUUCUGAAUCUUUUGUAGGUUAUUGGUAGUUCUAUAUUCAGAAAUUAUGAUCUGAUAUAAAUACUGUAAAUAGAGAGUUGUUUACAUAACAAAAACAAGGAGUUCAUUAAAAAUGGAACUGCCAGAGACGGAGCAUGUGAGUGAUGUGGAGUUGGGGAGGAGUUGUGUGAUAUUGCCAGGAGCAAGUAGAAGGUUUUCUGAAAGUCUCCAAAAUCGUUCUGAUACUGCUCCAACAUGUUAACAGACUAUUGUUUGUGUUUCAAUACAGCAUAAAACUUUUCUCCAAGUAUUAUUUAUCUUUUCAUUUAAUAUAUGUAUUUUGUGCCCAGAUGUUUUUCAAUGAUGAUUAAAAAAACACUGAAAGAACUUUAUAGUGGAUCAAUAAUUGGGCACACCGUCUACUGUAUGUUGUAAACUUGAAGCAGUGAGUAACAGGAAAUGGAAAACAUGAAACAAAGUGGAGCUGGAGCUAAAUGAUCACAGGAUGCUUUGAGGAGGGAAAAGUGAAAUUGUUCAGUCACAUGGUCUGGCCAGAGAAUAGAAAAGGACUUUGUUUACUAGUCCAUCAGUUGAUUGUGUAAAGCAACGAUAUGCCAUUGUGAAAUACAUUCUGUUGGUCUGUGUUGAUGCACAGUGGAAACUCCAAAAGCACAUGUUUUUGAGUCCAGGUAACAUAUUAAUGAGGAUAACAUGUACAUGCAGCACCUUUUACUAAAAGGAGUUUCUCAAUAUACUAAAUCGAUAAAGUACACAAAAAUGUGCAAUAUUGUGAAUUUAGGAUGAGAUAUUGAUUUAUUUACAUUGUGAAAUCUGUUUGUCAAAAAUUACCAGUGUAUUAAGACUGCAUCUGUUUUUGAUGGAGGUCCCCAUAAGCUACGCGUGUAGAGAACCAGAAAUGUCUGUUGCAUAUUACCACCAGUUCCUAAAGUUGUAUGUUGUAAUUAUUUUUAGAGCAAAAUGAGUAACACUACUCUGAUAUUGAACUAAAAUAAAACUAGAACUUAAGACAUGUUUUACAAAUAUUGAAAUCUCAAAUGUGUGUUUUUUGCUUUUGUCGCAAUCUAGGCUUUCAGAACAGAUGAUGAAACAAAAUGCUCAAUGGGAAGGAAUUUAUCAAAAAAAAAAAGUAGUUUAUUAAUCUUCUGAUGAAAGAAUAGUUUACACAAAUGUUUGUUUUUUGUCUUUUUUUCUUGUAAUCGUUCCCCUUUGGCACCAUUAUGUGUGUUUAUAUCGUUCCCCUUU